ensembl:misc_RNA Y_RNA Y RNA
GGCUGGACCCAGUGCAGUAGUGUUUAUAACCAGUUACAGAUUUCUUUGUUUCUUCUCCGCUAUCACUGUUUCACUUGACUAGCCUUAA